UGGGGAAUAUUGCGCAAUGGGGGGAACCCUGACGCAGCCAUGCCGCGUGAAUGAAGAAGGCCUUCGGGUUGUAAAGUUCUUUCGGUAUUGAGGAAGGUUGAUGUGUUAAUAGCACAUCAAAUUGACGUUAAAUACAGAAGAAGCACCGGCUAACUCCGUGCCAGCAGCCGCGGUAAUACGGAGGGUGCGAGCGUUAAUCGGAAUAACUGGGCGUAAAGGGCACGCAGGCGGUUAUUUAAGUGAGGUGUGAAAGCCCCGGGCUUAACCUGGGAAUUGCAUUUCAGACUGGGUAACUAGAGUACUUUAGGGAGGGGUAGAAUUCCACGUGUAGCGGUGAAAUGCGUAGAGAUGUGGAGGAAUACCGAAGGCGAAGGCAGCCCCUUGGGAAUGUACUGACGCUCGUGUGCGAAAGCGUGGGGAGCAAACAGGAUUAGAUACCCUGGUAGUCCACGCUGUAAACGCUGUCGAUUUGGGGGUUGGGGUUUAACUCUGGCGCCCGUAGCUAACGUGAUAAAUCGACCGCCUGGGGAGUACGGCCGCAAGGUUA
rnacentral:rRNA from 1 species